rnacentral:rRNA from 1 species
CGUAGGUGGCAAGCGUUAUCCGGAAUUAUUGGGCGUAAGCGCGCGUAGGCGGUUCUUAAGUCUGAUGUGAAAGCCCACGGCUCAACCGUGGAGGUCAUUGGAAACUGGGAAACUUGAGUGCAGAAGAGGAAGUGGAAUUCCAUGUGUAGCGGUGAAAUGCGCAGAGAUAUGGAGGAACACCAGUGGCGAAGGCGACUUUCUGGUCUGUAACUGACGCUGAUGUGCGAAAGCGUGGGAUCAAACAGGAUU